rnacentral:rRNA from 1 species
CGUCUAUAUACGUAUAGCAUAUCAAUAAGCGGAGGAAAAGAAACUAACUAGGAUUCCCUCAGUAACGGCGAGUGAAGCGGGAAGAGCUCAAAUUUGAAAUCUUCAAGGUUCUACCUUGACGAAUUGUAGUUUAAAGAAGUGUUUUCUGUUGGAGUUUUGGUAAAAGUUCUUUGGAAUAGGACAUCAUAGAGGGUGAGAAUCCCGUAUUUGACCAUUACUUUCCAGCUUUGUGAUACACUUUCAAAGAGUCGGAUUGUUUGGGAAUGCAGUCCAAAAUGGGUGGUAAAUUUCAUCUAAAGCUAAAUAUUGGCGAGAGACCGAUAGCGAACAAGUACCGUGAGGGAAAGAUGAAAAGAACUUUGAAAAGAGAGUUAAACAGUACGUGAAAUUGUCAAAAGGGAAGCGUUUGACACCAGUGUUGUUUUCUCGAAAAUCAAUUAAAAAUGAUUGGAUUUUGUGUUGUAUUGACUUUAUCAGCUUUCUGCACUCUUUUCUUGUCUUUUUUAAUGCACUUUUCGUUUAACAAGUCAACAUCAAUUUCUUUUGUUGUAAAAGGGUCAUUGGAAGGUGGCUUUCUUUUCGGAGAAAGUGUUUAUAGCCUUUGGCUUCUGCAAUCGGAGAGAUUGAGGUCUGCAGCGUAGAUCCUUCGGGGUUAGAUACAUUUGUGCUAAGUUAUAGCCUUUCAUAGACAACUUGUUGACUAUGAUCAGUCAUGUAGCUUACUCGCUUAUGCUAUUUUACCUACGCUUAGGAUGUUGACGAUCAGCUGAGCGCG